CCUACGGGGGGCAGCAGUGGGGAAUAUUGCACAAUGGGCGCAAGCCUGAUGCAGCCAUGCCGCGUGUAUGAAGAAGGCCUUCGGGUUGUCAAGUACUUUCAGUCGUGAGGAAGGUGUUAAGGUUAAUAACCUUAGCAAUUGACGUUAGCGACAGAAGAAGCACCGGCUAACUCCGUGCCAGCAGCCGCGGUAAUACGGAGGGUGCGAGCGUUAAUCGGAAUUACUGGGCGUAAAGGGCACGCAGGCGGUUAAUUAAGUUGGAUGUGAAAUCCCCGGGCUUAACCUGGGAAUGGCAUUCAAGACUGGUUAGCUAGAGUCUUGUAGAGGGGGGUAGAAUUCCAUGUGUAGCGGUGAAAUGCGUAGAGAUGUGGAGGAAUACCGGUGGCGAAGGCGGCCCCCUGGACAAAGACUGACGCUCAUGUGCGAAAGCGUGGGGAGCAAACAGGAUUAGAUACCCCUGUAGUC
rnacentral:rRNA from 1 species